GAGUAACGAAAACAUUGGUGAGAAUCUAAUGCCCCGAAAACCCAAGGGUUCCUCCGUAAAGUUCGUCCACGGAGGGUAAGUCAAGGCCUAAGAUCGGGCCAAAAGGCAUAGUUGAUGGACAACAGGUGAAUAUUUCUAUACUAUCCCUUAUUGGUCCCGAGGGAGGAGGGGGCUAGGUUAGCUAAAAGAUGGUUAUCGGUUCAAGGACGCAAUAGGCCCCUAUUUUUUCAGGUUAAGAAGGGGUAGAGAAAUGCCCCGAGCCAAUGUUCGAGUACCAAGAGCUACGACGCUAAAGUAACCUAUGUUAUACUCCCAAAAAAAGCUCGAAUGACCUUCAACAAAAGGGUACCUGUACCCGAAACCUACACAGGUGGGUAGGUAGAACCUAGGGCGCGAGACAACUCUCUCUAAGGAAGUUGGCAAAAUAGCCUCGUAACUUUAAGAGAAGGGGUGCCUCCUUACAAAGGAGGUCGCAGUGACCAGGCCCAGGCGACUAUUUACCAAAAACACAAGUCUCCGCAAAGUCGUAAAACCAUAUAUGGGGGCUGACACUUACCCAGUGCUGGAAGGUCAAGGAAGUUGGUGACCUGAUGACAGGGGAGCCGGCGAUUGAAGCCCCGGUGAAUGGCGGCCGUAACUAUAACCGUCCUAAGGUAGCGAAAUUCUUUGUUGGGUAAGUUCUGACCCGCACGAAAGGAUAAUACUAGAUUCCACUGCAUUGUUAAAGAAUAUGUUAGA
rfam:Gossypium raimondii chromosome 10, whole genome shotgun sequence.